GAUGAAGAACGCAGCGAAAUGCGAUAAGUAAUGUGAAUUGCAGAAUUCAGUGAACCAUCGAAUCUUUGAACGCACAUUGCGCCCGGCAGUAAUCUGCCGGGCAUGCCUGUCCGAGCGUCAUUUCUGCCCUCGAGCGAGUCCAGCAUCUAGGUGCUGGGCCCGCCCGGCGUUGGGGCACUACGGGAAGCCCUGUGCUGUCCCCCGUAGGCCCCGAAAUGAAGUGGCGGUCCUGCCGCGGCGCCCCCUGCGUAGUAUAACAGCUCGCUUCGGGACCCGGUGGAGGCCUGCCGUCAAACCUUACUCUCUAAGUUUGACCUCGGAUCAGGUAGGGUUACCCGCUGAACUUAAGCAUAUCAAUAAGCGGAUGA
rnacentral:misc_RNA from 1 species